rnacentral:rRNA from 1 species
GUUAGUGGAAGCGUCUGGAAAGGCGCGCGAUACAGGGUGACAGCCCCGUACACAAAAAUGCACAUGCUGUGAGCUCGAUGAGUAGGGCGGGACACGUGGUAUCCUGUCUGAAUAUGGGGGGACCAUCCUCCAAGGCUAAAUACUCCUGACUGACCGAUAGUGAACCAGUACCGUGAGGGAAAGGCGAAAAGAACCCCGGCGAGGGGAGUGAAAAAGAACCUGAAACCGUGUACGUACAAGCAGUGGGAGCACGCUUAGGCGUGUGACUGCGUACCUUUUGUAUAAUGGGUCAGCGACUUAUAUUCUGUAGCAAGGUUAACCGAAUAGGGGAGCCGAAGGGAAACCGAGUCUUAACUGGGCGUUAAGUUGCAGGGUAUAGACCCGAAACCCGGUGAUCUAGCCAUGGGCAGGUUGAAGGUUGGGUAACACUAACUGGAGGACCGAACCGACUAAUGUUGAAAAAUUAGCGGAUGACUUGUGGCUGGGGGUGAAAGGCCAAUCAAACCGGGAGAUAGCUGGUUCUCCCCGAAAGCUAUUUAGGUAGCGCCUCGUGAACUCAUCUCCGGGGGUAGAGCACUGUUUCGGCAAGGGGGUCAUCCCGACUUACCAACCCGAUGCAAACUGCGAAUACCGGAGAAUGUUAUCACGGGAGACACACGGCGGGUGCUAACGUCCGUCGUGAAGAGGGAAACAACCCAGACCGCCAGCUAAGGUCCCAAAGUCAUGGUUAAGUGGGAAACGAUGUGGGAAGGCCCAGACAGCCAGGAUGUUGGCUUAGAAGCAGCCAUCAUUUAAAGAAAGCGUAAUAGCUCACUGGUCGAGUCGGCCUGCGCGGAAGAUGUAACGGGGCUAAACCAUG